rnacentral:rRNA from 1 species
AGAGUUUGAUCAUGGCUCAGGACGAACGCUGGCGGCGUGCUUAACACAUGCAAGUCGAACGGACCUUGUUCGCGGAAGUUUUCGGAUGGAAGCUUAUAAGGUUAGUGGCGGACGGGUGAGUAACGCGUAGAUAAUCUACCUUAAAGACCGGGACAACAGUUGGAAACGACUGCUAAUACCGGAUGAGCUGUAAUUGGGGCAAUCCCGAUUACAGGAAAGGAGGCCUCUUAACAAUGCUCCCGCUUUAAGAUGAGUCUGCGUCUGAUUAGCUAGUUGGUGGGGUAACGGCCUACCAAGGCGACGGUCAGUAGUCGGCCUGAGAGGGUGACCGGCCACAUUGGGACUGAGACACGGCCCAAACUCCUACGGGAGGCAGCAGUGGGGAAUCUUCCGCAAUGGGCGCAAGCCUGACGGAGCAACGCCGCGUGAAUGAGGAAGGCCUUCGGGUCGUAAAGUUCUGUUGACAGGGACGAAUAAGUUGUGCGAAUAGUGCGAUGUAUGACGGUACCUGUUAAGAAAGCUCCGGCUAACUACGUGCCAGCAGCCGCGGUAAUACGUAGGGAGCAAGCGUUGUCCGGAAUUACUGGGCGUAAAGGGCGCGUAGGUGGGCGUUUAAGUCAGGUGUGAAAACUCUGGGCUUAACCUGGAGACUGCACUUGAAACUGGGCGUCUUGAGGGCAGGAGAGGAAAGUGGAAUUCCUAGUGUAGCGGUGAAAUGCGUAGAUAUUAGGAGGAACACCAGUGGCGAAGGCGACUUUCUGGACUGUGCCUGACGCUGAGGCGCGAAAGCGUGGGUAGCG